GGGACCUCAGGUCAGGCGGGGCUACCCUCU
rnacentral:rRNA from 1 species